AAUCUUCAUCGGUAAACUUAUCAUUUCAUGGCUUUUUGGAUAUAUGUGCACUAAAGCUUUUGGUAAUCAAUUGUACCUUCAAGUUUCUUCAGGUCAGCAACCUUACGAGCUGCGGACAUUAAAUCGGACUGAAUGACAUAGUCGCGAUCUUCUUUAAUGGCUAUGAAUCCUGCUUCUGUAACCACAUUCCGCAAGUCAGCACCAUUUGUUCCAUCUGUCAGUUUAACCAAUGCUUCAUAGUCAAUUUCGCCUUGUUUAGAGACUUUUUCUAAAUGGAUUUUCAAAAUCUCCAUACGACCAACUUCGUUUGGUAGGGGAAUUUCAAUUUUACGAUCUAGACGACCAGGACGAAGCAAGGCAGGAUCUAGAGUAUCAGGACGAUUUGUCGCCAUGAUAAUUUUCGUUUGGCCAAGGUAAUCGAAACCAUCCAUCUGAUUCAAUAAUUCCAUCAAUGUACGCUGAAUUUCACGAUCAGCAGAUGUUCCUUCAGAGAAUCUUCUACCACCAAUAGCAUCAAUUUCGUCCAUAAAAAUAACACAUGGCUCAUGCUCUUUUGCAUAGCCAAACAUUUCACGAAUUAUUCUAGCAGAUUCUCCAAUAUAUUUAUCAACGAUAGCACUGGAAACUACUUUUAAAAAGUUAACACCUAAAGAUGCCGCCACGGCACGAGCUAAAAGAGUUUUACCAGUACCAGGAGGACCAUAGAGCAAAACACCUUUUGGUGGCUUAAUUCCCACACGAAGGAAUAAUUCCGGAUUCUUUAAAGGUAGUUCAAUAACUUCACGCAAUUCACGAAUUUGUUCAUUCAAGCCACCGACACCGGCGAAAGAAAUGUCACCAGGGUCUUCAAUUGACAUAUUGUAAACGAGAGGAUCAACCUCACGAGGAAGAAUACGCAUAAUGGUUAACGUGGUCAUAUCUAAAGAUACACGAACGCCUUGAACCAAAUGAGAUUGGUCGACAUUGUUUCUGCAACCUACAACGUAACGUGGACCAGAGCUAGAAUAGGUUAGGGAAACAGAAAAUAAUGAAAGGAAAUAAAAAAUAGUG